GUUUGAUCAUGGCUCAGGAUGAACGCUGGCGGCGUGCUUAACACAUGCAAGUCGAACGGGCUCAUUUUUCGGAAUGGGUUAGUGGCAGACGGGUGCGUAACACGUAGGUGACCUGCCCUAAAGUGGGGAAUAACUAUCCUAACGGAUGGCUAAUACCGCAUAAGCUCGGUGGUUCGGUCUGCCGAGUAAAGUUUUCGGACGCUUUAGGAUGGGCCUGCGGCGGAUUAGCUAGUUGGUGGGGUAACGGCCUACCAAGGCGAUGAUCCGUAGGGGGCGUGAGAGCGUGGCCCCCCACACUGGCACUGCGAUACGGGCCAGACUCCUACGGGAGGCAGCAGUGAGGAAUAUUGCACAAUGGGCGCAAGCCUGAUGCAGCAACGCCGCGUGAGGGACGAAGGCCUUCGGGUUGUAAACCUCUUUUCUGGGGAACGAGACAAGGACGGUACCCCAGGAAUAAGUCUCGGCUAACUACGUGCCAGCAGCCGCGGUAAGACGUAGGAGGCGAGCGUUAUCCGGAUUUACUGGGCGUAAAGCGUGCGCAGGCGGCUUUGCCAGUCGGAUGUAAAAGCUCCUGGCUUAACUGGGAGAGGCCAUUCGAUACUGCGAGGCUUGAGGUUGGGAGAGGGGUGUGGAAUUCCCGGUGUAGUGGUGGAAUGCGUAGAUAUCGGGGGGAACACCUGUGGCGAAAGCGACACCCUGGCCCACACCUGACGCUGAGGUACGAAAGCGUGGGGAGCAAACAGGAUUAGAUACCCUGGUAGUCCACGCUGUAAACGAUGUCAACUAGGUGUCGGUGGUUUUACACUAUCGGUGCCGCAGCUAACGCGUUAAGUUGACCGCCUGGGGAGUACGGCCGCAAGGCUAAAACUUAAAUGAAUUG
rnacentral:rRNA from 1 species